CCACCAGACCCUAUUAAUAGAUAGAUAGCAGUUACUCGUUCAUCCAAAUGCUUCAGCCACCCCUUCUUCCUCUCUCCUUUUUUUUUUCCUCCAUCUUCUUGCUUCUUCCCUCUACUUUCCACGACCAACAUUGAUUUCAAGAAGGGACGAUUUGAAAUCCUCCCCCUUUCUGGUUCUUUCCUGCUCUCAGAGAGUGGUGGUCAACGUAGUGGAGGUGUGGCUGGGCUUGUAAGCGCAGCCUCUCCUGCUCAGAUUACAAAUGCCAAGAAAGAAAUAUAAUCAGGGAAGGAAGGAAGGAAAAGAGAGAGAGAGAGAGAGAGAGAGAGAGAGAGAGAGAGAGAGAGAGAAGAGAGAGGAGAUACGUUAUUUUCAAGAGAGAGAAAUGAGAGAUUUUGGAAUGUGUGAGAUAAGCAUCAUGGACGGCUAAAUCACAGCUCAAAGCCCACCGGAUUCUGAAUUAGGUUAUUUUCAACGAACUCCCUUAUUGUGGCACCCUCUUCAUUCUGGGAGACCCCUUGGUUUUUGGAUCAUAGUGCCCCACUAUCCCUUGAAUUAGCCACGUAGACAGUGGCCUUUCUGGAGAGAGGCCAGAAAGAGAAAAUUCCGGGACCGGUUGUUUUCGGUGUAACCUGGGGUGGUGUGGUUCAUCAUAGCCAAUACAGAUAUGGUUUAUGUAAUAAGUUUCCCAACUCCAAUUGGUUUAGUGGCAUAUGUUUUCCUUAAUGUACCAUUGUGAGUUACAGUAGCAGUAGCAGAGUUGAGUUAGAGAUGAUUUGUUCAGGUUCAACCCUUCUGCCCCACAAUUUUUUUAAUAUUAAAAAAAAUAAUAAUAAUAAUAAAAAAAAAAGCAAAGACCUACAUGGCUGGUUACACAGUAGCCUAUCUUUUUAUUUAUUUUUUAUUUAUAUAUUAAUUUCAUUUUUUUUAUUCGUACUUACACUUGCUUCAACUGCACAGUACCCUAAAAUUGUUGUUUAAACUAAAAUUGUGUUAUUUAUUUUAAUUGUCUUUUUUUAUCCUAUAGGAUAUAUUUGGCGCUAGAACUGAUCCCACAAGUAUACACUUCUAGAAUGGACGAUGGUAGAAAUUUUAAAGCAUCCAGAAGUAAUGAAAGAAGUUCAAGAGGAAGUAAGGGGGGUCACAAGGGGCAAAGAGAAUAUUGCAAAUGUUGAUAUAAAACAAAUGCAUUAUUUGAAUGCAGUGAUUAAGGAGACACUAAGACUGCAUCCUCCACUCCCUUUAUUGACUCCGCGUAAAUUGACAGAAAAUGUCAAUAUACAAGGGUUUGAUGUUCCAACCAACACAAUGGUAAUAAUCAAUGCAUGGGCCAUUGGAAGGGACCUGUGUCCUGGGAUGAACCUGAGAAGUUCAAACCAAAGAGGUUCUUGAAUGAUGCCUCUGUUGAUUUUAAUGCCCAUGUUGAUUUUAAUUAAUUCCAUUUGGGAUAGGCAGGCGAGGAUGCUCAGGAGCUCAAUUCGCUUUUGGCAUUGUUCAACUUGUAAUCGCUAAUCUUUUGCACAAGUUUGACUUGGAGAUUGAGUGGGCAGGACUUGAAUAUUACGGAAGCUACCGGAAUAUCAAAUCAUUUAAACUAUCCUCUUCAAGUUCUUGUUACUCCGAAGAAUAUUUGUGGCCCACUUAUCAUUUGUAAUGACCCACAUAAAUAGAUUUUUUUUUUCCUAGUAAUGAGAUAUUUGUAAAUUCUUAUAUAAAUCCAUGUGAUAUUAUUAGUGCUUC